GGGGCGGUAGCUCAGUUUGGUCAGAGCAGCGGAAUCAUAAUCCGCCGGUCGUGGGUUCGAGCCCCACCCGCCCCA
rnacentral:tRNA from 1 species